CCUACGGGUGGCAGCAGUGGGGAAUAUUGCACAAUGGGGGGAACCCUGAUGCAGCAACGCCGCGUGGGUGAAGAAGUACUCCGGUAUGUAAAGCCCUGUCAGCAGGGAAGAAAAUGACGGUACCUGACCAAGAAGCCCCGGCUAACUACGUGCCAGCAGCCGCGGUAAUACGUAGGGGGCAAGCGUUAUCCGGAUUUACUGGGUGUAAAGGGAACGUAGACGGCAAGGCAAGUCUGGAGUGAAAGCCCGGGGCCCAACCACGGGACUGCUUUGGAAACUGUGUUGCUGGAGUGCAGGAGGGGUAAGCGGAAUUCCUAGUGUAGCGGUGAAAUGCGUAGAUAUUAGGAGGAACACCGGUGGCGAAGGCGGCUUACUGGACUGUAACUGACGUUGAGGCUCGAAGGCGUGGGGAGCAAACAGGAUUAGAUACCCGAGUAGUC
rnacentral:rRNA from 1 species